UACAGAGGGGGCCAGCGUUAUUCGGAAUUAUUGGGCGUAAAGGGCGCGUAGGCGGCUUGGCAAGUGGAUGGUGAAAUCCCUCGGCUUAACCGAGGAACGGCCGUCCAAACUGCUUCGCUUGAGACCGGGAGAGGUGAGUGGAAUUCCCAGUGUAGCGGUGAAAUGCGUAGAUAUUGGGAGGAACACCAGUGGCGAAGGCGGCUCACUGGACCGGUACUGACGCUGAAGCGCGAAAGCGUGGGGAGCGAACGGG
rnacentral:rRNA from 1 species